GACAGAGCACCCGGACCCGCGGCGGCAGCGGCAGCGGCAGCGACGCUACCCACCCUCUUCCCCAACACCCACCUAGCCAGCGAGUCACCGAGCCACGGGCCCUCGGGCCGGCGCCUCUGUUCCUGCCCAGCUGGAUUUGGGGGGCAGCAUUGCCUGGCGCAGGGAGAUCAAAUGAGACUGCAAAGAAGCAUAAAAUGAAUAGACAAUCCAACCAACCAAAGACCGGGGGCAGCAGCAGGCCAGCAAGACGGCAUCUUCUCCUUCCCAGCCUAGAAGCCCUGUGAAAUCGAGGAUCUUCCCCCUAAAACACAUACACACAAGAAAUGUGCAAUCAAGCUGCCACCGCUUGGUAAAAAGCUCAUGGUGCCUAACCAAAAAGGAUCAGGAACAGAUCCUUGAAUCAGCUGUCACUUCUAUAGAAUGGGAUGUUUUUUUUUUCCUUCCUCCUUAACCUGCGCUGGAAAUUGCCGUUGGCUUUAUACAUCUCUAUAGAGAGAGGCUAAAGAGUCUUGCGUGAGAAAGAAGCAAUUUACAAUGCAAAUA
rnacentral:lncRNA from 1 species